AUUGAACGCUGGCGGCAGGCCUAACACAUGCAAGUCGAGCGUGAAAGUCCUUCGGGAUGAGUAAAGCGGCGGACGGGUGAGUAACGCGUAGGAAUUUACCUAAUAGUGGGGGAUAACGUUUCGAAAGGAACGCUAAUACCGCAUACGUUCUGAGGAAGAAAGCAGGGGCUCGCAAGACCUUGCGCUAUUAGAUGAGCCCUGCGUCCAAUUAGCUAGUUGGUGGGGUAAAGCCUACCAAGGCGACGAUCGGUAACUGGUCUGAGAGGAUGAUCAGUCACACUGGAACUGAGACACGGUCCAGACUCCUACGGGAGGCAGCAGUGGGGAAUAUUGGGACAAUGGGGGCAACCCUGA
rnacentral:rRNA from 1 species